rnacentral:rRNA from 1 species
CCUACGGGAGGCAGCAGUGAGGAAUAUUGGUCAAUGGCCGCAGGGCUGAACCAGCCAAGUCGCGUGAGGGAUGACGGUCCUAUGGAUUGUAAACCUCUUUUGUCAGGGAGCAAAGGGCGCCACGUGUGGCGUUUUGCGAGUACCUGAAGAAAAAGCAUCGGCUAACUCCGUGCCAGCAGCCGCGGUAAUACGGAAGGUCCGGGCGUUAUCCGGAUUUCUUGGGUUUAAAGGGAGCGUAGGCCGCAUGUCAAGCGUGCUGUGAAAUGUCCGGGCUCAACCCGGGCCUUGCAGCGCGAACUGGCGUGCUUGAGUCCGCGGAAAGCAGGCGGAAUUCGUCGUGUAGCGGUGAAAUGCUUAGAUAUGACGAAGAACCCCGAUUGCGAAGGCAGCUUGCUGCAGCGGAACUGACGCUGAUGCUCGAAAGCGCGGGUAUCGAACAGGAUUAGAUACCCUUGUAGUC